UAACUUCCUACAAAUAUCCAUAAUACCGUUUGUCUCGAUAUCACGAGAAAACAAGGAGUAUUCGACUUCGACUGCAGCAAUGGGGACCACAGCGUGAGCACGUUUGAUAGUUUCAGCAGAAACUUCGCUAAGGCCGACACAUGAAAUCUUUCCAGAGUCCACAAACCCCUUCAAUGUCUUCAUGGUUGUCUCAAUGGGAACAUUUGGGUCGACUCGAGCACAUUGGAAGAGAUCUAGCUUUUUGGUCCCACGUAAAUGAGCUAUCACAUUUUCAACACUCUUUGACACGAAGUCCGGAUUUCCAUCAGGAACUAGUGUUUUAAAAUCCAAACCACCUUUGACAGAUAAAAACACCUUAUUAGCGUUUUCGGGAUAUUUUUCAAAAUAUCUAGCUAAUAAAUCUAAAUUAGAGGUGGGAGGGUCGACACCAUAAAAUUCACCCGCAUCCCAAUAAUUGGAGCCUUGGGAUAAGGCA